rnacentral:rRNA from 1 species
GUGAGGAAUAUUGGUCAAUGGGCGGGAGCCUGAACCAGCCAAGUCGCGUGAAGGAAGAAGGAUCUAUGGUUCGUAAACUUCUUUUGCAGGGGAAUAAAGUGCAGGACGUGUCCUGUUUUGUAUGUACCCUGAGAAUAAGGAUCGGCUAACUCCGUGCCAGCAGCCGCGGUAAUACGGAGGAUCCGAGCGUUAUCCGGAUUUAUUGGGUUUAAAGGGUGCGUAGGUGGUUUGAUAAGUCAGCGGUGAAAGUUUGCAGCUUAACUGUAAAAAUGCCGUUGAGACUGUCGGACUUGAGUGUAAAUGAGGUAGGCGGAAUGCGUGGUGUAGCGGUGAAAUGCAUAGAUAUCACGCAGAACUCCGAUUGCGAAGGCAGCUUACUAAGCUACAACUGACACUGAAGCACGAAAGCGUGGGGAUCAAACAGGAUUAGAAACCCCAGUAGUCC